GAGGUAGUGACAAGAAAUAACAAUACGGGGCUUAAAGUCUUGUAAUUGGAAUGAUGGGAAUUUAAACCUCUUCCAGAGUAUCAAUUGGAGGGCAAGUCUGGUGCCAGCAGCCGCGGUAAUUCCAGCUCCAAUAGCGUAUAUUAAAAUUGUUGCAGUUAAAAAGCUCGUAGUUGAAUUUCUGCUGCAUUGCUUGUGUCCCUCUGGGGUCUGUGCAUGUGGCUUUUUUCGGACGGAGUUUCUUUGUCUGAAUGUUUACUUUGAGAAAAUUAGAGUGCUCAAAGCAGGCUUUCGCCUUGAAUAGUUUAGCAUGGAAUAAUAAAGUAGGACUUUGGUUCUAUUUUGUUGGUUUUAGGUACCAAAGUAAUGGUUAAUAGGAACAGUUGGGGGCAUUCGUAUUUAACUGUCAGAGGUGAAAUUCUUAGAUUUGUUAAAGACGAACUACUGCGAAAGCAUUUGCCAAGGAUGUUUUCAUUAAUCAAGAACGAAAGUUAGGGGAUCGAAGACGAUCAGAUACCGUCGUAGUCCUAACCAUAAACUAUGCCGACUAGAGAUUGGAGGUCGUCAGUUUUUACGACUCCUUCAGCACCUUGAGAGAAAUCAAAGUCUUUGGGUUCUGGGGGGAGUAUG
rnacentral:rRNA from 1 species